rnacentral:rRNA from 2 species
GACGGAGGGUGCUAGCGUUGUUCGGAAUCACUGGGCGUAAAGGGCGCGUAGGCGGCCAAGGCAGUCGGCUCGUGAAAGCCCGGGGCUCAACCCCGGAGGUGCGGCCGAUACUCUUUGGCUCGAGGCCGGAAGAGGAGGGUGGAAUACCCAGUGUAGAGGUGAAAUUCGUAGAUAUUGGGUGGAACACCGGUGGCGAAAGCGGCUCUCUGGUCCGGUCCUGACGCUGAGGCGCGAAAGCGUGGGGAGCAAA